AUGGCGUCCCCGGCGCGGCCAGCCUCCGUCUCCGGCCCCUUCGGCCUGUCCCCCGACCUCGCCCGCUGCUCCUUCGACCACACGCUCCGCCGAGAGGAUUUUCAGGACAACAGAUUAUUGAGGUCAUUGGUUAGCAUGCGUGAACAAGAAAACCAUUCCAAAGAAAUUAUAACGGAAGCUAUCGAGAGCUGCAUGAACAAACAAGCAGAAAAUCUGGUGAAUUCACUGGAUGUCAUCAGUGGAAGGCUGUCGCAGUUGGAGUUAUACUGCUAUAAGCUUGAAAGGUCCAUUGGAGAACUGCGAAGCGAUGUAAUGGAUUAUCACAGCGAAGCAAAUCUAAACUUCCGUGGCCUUGACAAGAACGUCAAAGAGGUUCAGAAAUGUGUACAAGUUCUGCAGGAUAAGCAAGAGCUUGCUGAAACUCAGAACGAGCUAGCUAAACUUCAGAUUGUAUAUGAAGAUCCUGCACAAAAGAGUGAAGGUACUGCCCCAUCAGUUUUCAUGGCCAGGGAAAAUGAUGGCAGUUUCCCAGGUGCAAAGCAUGAGCUUGCCCUUGUCCCGCUGCACCAAGUAAAUCAGUCUCCUGCUAUGCAAUUCCAAAGUUGCAACGGGCUUAUUCUACAGCAACUUGUGCCUGUCUCUUUGAGCACCCAACAAGACCAGCAACACUUGAACCAGUCUACUGUUUACCGCGCGCAAAAUCAAUGCCAACCUGAGCGCAGGCAGGCCCAAACAUUUCAACCUGCACCGCAGUCUAUGCAACCGCAGGCCCAGAACCCCCAGCCACAGACUGUAGUUGAGGUACCUCCGAUAACUAGUCAGGCACCAGAGUUCUACAUCCAAGCUCAGCACCAUUGGCAACAUCAGACUGUCCAGGAUGUUCACUCGCAGGCAAGGCAACCACAACAACAACCACAGCCACAGGUGGCACAACAGCAGCAGUACCACAACAUGCAGCAAGUUCCAGCUCAGAUGGUUCAACUGCAAACAUCUUCUCCGCAGGCCCAAAGUGCACCUCAUGUCGCCCUGUUCUAUCCUCCUUACGGAUCCCAACAGCCCGCAUGUGGUAACACCGAGGCACUUUCUAGAGGCAUGGUUGUGCAGCCUGCCUAUUCUACGAUCUCUUCUUCCCAGCGAAAGCACCAUGAAGCUGCUCCUGUUUACGUGCAAAGCAGCGCCAUUGCUGUUCCUAUUGCAGAACAUCACAUCCAGCACCAGCAGACCCAGCAGUUCCAUUCGCCUGGCAAUGGCUCAUUUGCACCUCAGCAAUGCAAGGUUGGUCCCUAUUCAGUCCAGGGUGGUGCCCAGGCCUACAACACCGUAUAUGGGAGCCCUCCCAACAGUGCUGCCACUUUUGUUGCUGUCCUUCCUCAGCAAGCACAGCAGGCCAGUGCUCCGAUGAUGCUCCAUCAUCUAGGACCCCAGCCCGUGCAGAAUCACCCUGCAGACAUGGCUGACAAGGCUGCUCGAAUGGGUUACUUGAACGAUCAUGCUGAGAACAUGCCGCGCCGAAUGGUGGCUGCAGGCCAGCCUGUAGAGUACAACACCUUCCAUGAUGGGCUGAGCUCUGUUGGCAAUGCGGCUUGGUCUGGCUAG
rnacentral:rRNA from 1 species